CCUCAGUGUCCACCUGGUUUCUGAAUUCUGAUAACGCUAUUGUGAUCAUAAAAAGAGAAAGAGUUAUAAGAAUAUGUUCUGGCGGGGCAUGGGGAUAUGGGGUGCCUCAGUGGGCCCAUGUGGAGGCAUCUCUUCCCCCGAGGGACCAGACACAUGAUGGGUCCGUGGAGCCAUCUGAUGAUAAGUCAGAAGAAUAUAGGUCCACAAACACACACCGGCAUAUUGAUUGGGGCAACUUUUCUGCAAGCCUGGAGUUGGUUCAAACUUAAAAGCUUAUAAAUGAAGACCAUUGUUGCAAGAGUGAAGUCCCGAUGGCCCGUGAGCCUCAUACCCGACCUUUGAUGGGUCUCCUUAGUAGAUACCUGCCAACCCAUAUCAGAGUGUGAUGCUUUUGAACAACAGUAGAGUGUGUGUCUCUGCUGUAUCAGCUUUGUAAAUGUGAAAUUCUUACAAGCCAUCAGCUCAGUUUGAAUUCAGCUCUUCUUCAUCUGCAGAGUCAAGAGUCUAUGAGUUUUAGCCUCUAUCCUUCACAUCGUGACUGACAAAAGAAAUUGCUCAUCUGAAUCCCUAGCAGAGAGGGAAAUGGACCCGUUAGGGCCCUUCCAUACCGCUCCUCAGUCACGUUUUUACAUAGCACACAGCCAUGUAAACAUGUCUACAGCUAUGUUCAGAACAUGCAUGCUGUACUCUAUGACACUGAAAACAAGCAACUUCUGCAGAUCGCUAUGAAUUGCAGUGCUACACACUAUGUUAGCCCCAAUAUCUGGCAUAAUAACAAAUAGCUUUUUCUUACUUAUCAGGCAUUAAACAGACUUUUGUGUGGCUUAUUUUUUGUCCCUUCAAUAAUUCUAUAAGCUCAAGGCAGAUAAGUUAACACACAUUCACUGCAUAUGUCUGGCUCCAGAAGACGAUCAGGGGAUGUCCUGAAGCCCAGGAAGGUGACCACAUAUGUAGUCACAGCAAUGUCCAUUGCUUCCAUUCCUUCUAUUUACAUAUCUCUAUUUAAUUUAUUUGGUUGACAUUCUUGCUACACACCUGUAGGAUGAAAGAAAGCAUAGAGAAGGAAAAAAAGAAGGAAGUAGAUGGAGAGAAGGCUCAGAGGUUAAGAGUACUAGAACAUACUGCUCUUGUAGAGGACUCAAAUCGGGUUCCUCCAUCCACAUAUAACUGACUAUAUAACUCUAGUUCCAGGGAGAUCCAACACCUCUGGCCUCCAUGGGUACCUGCACUUACAUGAACACACACACACACACACACACACACA